AUUGAACGCUGGCGGCAGGCCUAACACAUGCAAGUCGAGCGGAUGAGGGAAGCUUGCUUCCCGAUUUAGCGGCGGACGGGUGAGUAAUGCCUAGGAAUCUGCCUAUUAGUGGGGGAUAACGUUCCGAAAGGAACGCUAAUACCGCAUACGUCCUACGGGAGAAAGUGGGGGAUCUUCGGACCUCACGCUAAUAGAUGAGCCUAGGUCGGAUUAGCUAGUUGGUGAGGUAACGGCUCACCAAGGCGACGAUCCGUAGCUGGUCUGAGAGGAUGAUCAGCAACACUGGAACUGAGACACGUUCCAGACUCCUACGGGAGGCAGCAGUGGGGAAUAUUGGACAAUGGGCGAAAGCCUGAUCCAGCCACGCCGCGUGUGUGAAGAAGGUCUUCGGAUUGUAAAGCACUUUAAGUUGGGAGGAAGAGUUGUAAGCUAAUAUCUUGCAGCUUUGACGUUACCAACAGAAUAAGCACCGGCUAACUCUGUGCCAGCCGCCGCCGUAAGAC
rnacentral:rRNA from 1 species